AGAGCCUCAGGGCAGCCAGUCCAGGAGAGCCCUUGGAGUGAAGCCCAGGGUGACUCCCCCCCAGGAUAGGGGAGCCUAGGGCCCAAGCCACACCCUUCCCUCUGGCCUGCCCUGAGUUUUGGAGCAGGUAGUGGGGGCUAGGCUGAGCUCGCUGAGGCUGUGUCUUGUUGCGCUCUGUGUUCCUGUUCCGGUUCCCACAACUCCUCAGCCAGUUCCUGAGGAAGCAGCUCCAGGAGCUCCUCAGUGUCAUCCUCAUCCGCAUCCAGAAGAAAGCUGUUUGCCAUCCCAGCCACAGCCUUGUGGAUUUCUGCAACCUCCUCAUCCUUAGCAAACCCUUUGAAGCCGUGGACCAAUCUCCUGAGUGUCUUCUUCCGAUCCUGUUAGUACACUCCUUGGUGACAUCACCCCAAGGCCAAGCAAGGCUCUUGAUGCAGCCGUAGAUAUUGUAAUCCUUCCAGAAUCGCAUCAGUGUCUUUUCAGUGUCUUCCUCAGUUGCAGCAAUAGCCUGGGCAAGGUCCUUCUCGGGCUGUGGGCCUUAAAAGCUGCUAUAACUCCUUGAUCCAUUGGUUGGAUCAAAGAGGUGGUGUUUGGAGGGAGAAACACCACUUUGAUACUGAGUUGAAGAUUACUAAUAAAAGGAGGAUGUGUAAGAGCAUUAUUAACAAUAAGCAGAAUCUUGAAAGGUUAGUCAUUCGAUGUAGCCUCUUGCUGGCAGCAUUAGCAGUGGAUUUCAUAUAAUUAGUGGCCCUGAUGAAACAAACAACAUGAAAUUAUAUCAGGCACAAGAGAAAAUGGUGCAAUCA
rnacentral:lncRNA from 1 species